UGAAGUUACGGUGGUGUUGUGACUUGCAGGAAGGUGACGCGGCUGCCGCGGCUGGCGGUGCUCCCCCAGCGGAAGGGGCUCCCCCAGCGGAAGGCGCUCCCCCGGCUGAAGGAGCACCUGCACCGGCCGCGGAGGGAGCCCCCGCGGCACCUCCCGCAGAAGGCGCACCUGCACCGCCCGCAGACGGAGCUGCACCUGCGCCCGCGCCUCCUGCGGAGGGUGCGCCGGCGGCGGCACCCGCGGCGCCCGCAGAAGGAGCGCCCGCCCCUGCACCUCCUGCAGAAGGUGCCCCGCCAGCACCUGCGCCCGCGCCUGCCGCGGAUGCGGCACCGGCCCCCGCCCCCGCCCCCGCUCCCGCAGCAGAACCAGCGCCUGCGCCGGCACCAGAGGCACCUGCCGCUCCCCCACCAGUCGAAGCAUCCGCCUAAGAAGUGCAUUGAUGGAGUUUGCAAUUCAAUCAAGUUUUAUGAAACAUGGGAAAUUACAUUUUAAUUUUAUCAUUUAUCGUGGCGUCAUCCCGGCUCAAUGCCUGGGCCCGCUAUAAAAGUAUUUCAAUUCAUAAAUGAAAAUAAUAUAAAAUAUUAUUGAAAUAUUAGUAAUUAUGUAUUUAAUAUUGUCAUUUUGAUAUAUCUGUUAUAUCUACAACACAACGUCUUUGUUAUUUUUAUACUGUUUCAUCACUUUUGUGUAGAUAAGUUUUGUAUGAUACAUAAAAUAAAACAGAUAAAUGAAUAACAGAAAAAUUGUUUU